rnacentral:rRNA from 1 species
AAACAACCUUUCUUCCCUACUGAAAGUGCUUUACAACCCGCAGGCCUUCUUCACACACGCGGUAUUGCUGGAUCAGGGUUGCCCCCAUUGUCCAAUAUUCCCCACUGCUGCCUCCCGUAGGAGUCUGGGCCGUGUCUCAGUCCCAGUGUGGCUGAUCGUCCUCUCAGACCAGCUACGGAUCGUCGNCUUGGUAGGCCAUUACCCCACCAACUAGCUAAUCCGGCUUAGGCUCACCCAAUAGUGAGAGGUCCGAAGAUCCCCCUCUUUCCACCGUAGNGCGUAUUCGGUAUUAGCGUGAGUUUCCCCACGUUAUCCCCAACUACUGGAUAGAUUCCUAAGUAUUACUCACCCGUCCGNCACUCGCCAUCAACAGAGNAAGCUCUGUCAUGCUGCCGUUCGACUUGCAUGNGUUAAGCAUACCGCCAGCGUUCNAUCUGAGCCAUGAUCAAACUCU